UACGAGAGAUAACGCAUGGAGGGGUAUAAUGUCGGGCGCUCUGAUAGGAUCCGUAUCCACCAAAUAAAAUUUCAGAACAUUAAGUCUGAUAUAUUUCAUAUUCAUAAAGACUGCAACAUCAGAUUUCCACAACGAGAUCAUACAAAGAUGUUUUAGCAUUAGUACCCCUGUUCUCGCCAACUCUGACGGUACACCCUUGCAUGGCUAACAAAAACAUCAACCUACUACUCAAAAGGAAAAUUCUUCUUUCCCCCCACGGCUUCCUCAAAAUCAGGGGGGAUCUUUGUGCUUUUGUUACUGGCCCUUUUAUAUUUCUGACAGG
rnacentral:lncRNA from 1 species